AUUGAACGCUGGCGGCAUGCCUUACACAUGCAAGUCGAACGGUAACAGGUCUUCGGAUGCUGACGAGUGGCGAACGGGUGAGUAAUACAUCGGAACGUGCCUAGUAGUGGGGGAUAACUACUCGAAAGAGUGGCCAAUACCGCAUGAGAUCUACGGAUGAAAGCCGGGGACCGCAAGGCCCGGCGCGAAGGGGUUGGCCGAUGUCCGAUUAGCUAGUUGGCGGGGUAAGAGCCCACCAAGGCGAUGAUCGGUAGCUGGUCUGAGAGGAUGAUCAGCCACACUGGGACUGAGACACGGCCCAGACUCCUACGGGAGGCAGCAGUGGGGAAUUUUGGACAAUGGGGGAAACCCUGAUCCAGCCAUUCCGCGUGAGUGAAGAAGGCCUUCGGGUUGUAAAGCUCUUUCGGCCGGGAAGAAAUCGCACGGGUUAAUACCCCGUGUGGAUGACGGUACCGGAAUAAGAAGCACCGGCUAACUACGUGCCAGCCGCCGCCGUAAAAC
rnacentral:rRNA from 1 species